UGCCAGCCGCCGCGGUAAUACGGGGGGUGCAAACGUUGCUCGGAAUUAUUGGGCGUAAAGCGCACGUAGGCGGUCCGUUAAGUCGGAUGUGAAAGCCCUCGGCUCAACCCCGGAAGUGCAUUGGAAACUGGCGAACUUGAGUACGGGAGAGGAAAGUGGAAUUCCGAGUGUAGGGGUGAAAUCCGUAGAUAUUCGGAGGAACACCAGUGGCGAAGGCGGCUUUCUGGACCGAUACUGACGCUGAGACGCGAAAGCGUGGGGAGCAAACAGGAUUAGAUA
rnacentral:rRNA from 1 species